AAAAAAUAAGAAGAAGGGUUCAUACAUUCGGCCAUUGUUGGAGCUAAUUCAAGAUCAAGAACAAAAGAAAUCAGACUUGGAUCGGGGGAAAAAAAUAGUUGUUGAAUAGUCGUUCUAUAUACCCGUCGAUAUUCGAGAGUUCCAAAUACUUGCUCGGGUUGGAAGUCGUUGAGUAAAUCAUCACACUAUCUGGUUAUCGC